UACAGAGGAGCCAAGCGUUGUCCGGAUUGACUGGGCGUAAAGCGCACGCAGGCGGAUGCGCGCGUGGGGUGUGAAAUCUGGCCGCUUAACGGCCAGGCGCCAUCCCAUACGGCGCGUCUGGAGUGAUGCAGAGGUCGGUGGAAUUGCCGGUGUAGUGGUGAAAUGCGUAGAUAUCAGGAGGAACACCGGUGGCGAAGGCGGCCCUCUGGACGGAUACUGACGCUGAGGCACGAAAGCUAGGGGAGCAAACAGG
rnacentral:rRNA from 1 species